rnacentral:rRNA from 1 species
AACGCGAAGAACCUUACAUCUCCGGAAUCCUGCAGAGAAGGGGGAGUUCCCUUGGGAAUAGGAACACAGGUGGUGCAUGGCUGUCGUCAGCUUGUGUUGUGAGAUGUUGGGUUAAAUCCCCCAACGAGCGCAACCCUUGUUCUUUGUUGCCAGCAAUUAAUGGGGGGAACUCUUAGGAGACUGCCGGUGACAAACCGGAGGAAGGGGGGGAUGACUUCAAGUCAUCAUGGCCCUUUAGGCCGGGGCUACACACGUACUAAAAUGGGGGGUACAAAGGGGUGCAAAACCGCGAGGGGGAGCCAAUCCCAAAAACCCGAUCUCAGUCCGGAUUGGAGUCUGCAACUCGACUCCAUGAAGUCGGAAUCGCUAGUAAUCCCAAAUCAGGGUCUUGUACACACCG